UUAAGUCCCGCAACGAGCGCAACCCUUGCCUCCUGUUGCCAUCAGGUAAUGCUGGGCACUCUGGAGAGACUGCCGGUGAUAAACCGGAGGAAGGUGGGGAUGACGUCAAGUCCUCAUGGCCUCUAUGCCCCGGGCUACACACGUGCUACAAUGGCUGGUACAAAGGGUUGCAAAACCGCGAGGUGGAGCUAAUCCCAAAAAACCAGUCCCAGUUCGGAUUGCAGUCUGCAACAAGAACUGCAUGAGGUUGGAAUCGCUAGUAAUCGCGGAUCAGCACGCCGCGGUGAAUACGUUCCCGGGCCUUGUACACACCGCCCGUCACAUCACGAAAGCCGGCUGUACUAGAAAUCUUCAAGCCGACCCGUAAGGGGGGCAGACGCCCACGGUAUGGUCGG
rnacentral:rRNA from 1 species